CCUGGUUAAAUUUAGAGUUUAGGGUGUUAAAUCUGGUUAAAUUUGGGGUUUGAAUGCAAAAUCCUAGGCAAUGCCCUUUGGAGGGUUUCUCGGGGAACCAGUGGUGUCUGUAGUGCUCUGAAGGGAGGGAGAAAAAUCAUGAGCAGGGAUAUCCAAGAAAAGUAGGGGUUUAGGGUCUUUAAACCUGGUUAAUUUAGAGUUUAGGGUCUUUAGUCCCUGUUAAAUUUGGACUUUAGGGUCUUUAAACCCCAUUAAAUUUGGGGUUUAAACAUCAAAUCCUAAAGAAGGGUUUCUCGGGGAACCAGUGGUGUCUGUAGUGCUCUGGAAAGGGAACAGGGAAAAGUGAGUAGGGAUGUCC